rnacentral:rRNA from 1 species
AGGAUUAACGCUAGCGGCAGGCCUAAUACAUGCAAGUCGAGGGGUAACAGGGUAGCAAUACUGCUGACGACCGGCGCACGGGUGAGUAACACGUAUGUAACCUACCUAUAACUGGGGAAUAGCCUUCCGAAAGGAAGAUUAACACCGCAUAAUAUCACGAGACGGCAUCGUUUUGUGAUCAAACCUCCGGGGGUUAUAGAUGGACAUGCGUAACAUUAGCUAGUUGGUGAGGUAACGGCUCACCAAGGCUACGAUGUUUAGGGGGUCUGAGAGGAUGAUCAGCCACAUUGGGACUGAGACACGGCCCAAACUCCUACGGGAGGCAGCAGUGGGGGAAUAUUGGACAAUGGGCGCAAGCCUGAUCCAGCCAUGCCGCGUGAGUGAUGAAGGCCUAGGGUGUAAGCUCUUUUGUGCGGGAAGAUAAUGACGGUACCGCAAGGAUAAGCCCGGCUAACUUCGUGCCAGCAGCCGC